GCCUAACACAUGCAAGUCGAACGUGAUACUAGAUUCGUCUAGUUGAAAGUGGCGCACGGGUGAGUAACACGUAGCUGAUCUACCUCAGAGACUGGGAUAACGCACCGAAAGGUGUGCUAAUACCGGAUAAGCUCCCGACGAUUAGAAGGUUGGGAGAAAAUGUUCAGGCGCUUUGAGAUGAGGCUGCGGUCCAUCAGCUAGUUGGUGAGGUAAAGGCUUACCAAGGCGACGACGGAUAGGGGACCUGAGAGGGUGAACCCCCACACUGGGACUGAGACACGGCCCAGACUCCUACGGGAGGCAGCAGUGAGGAAUAUUGCACAAUGGACGCAAGUCUGAUGCAGCGACGCCGCGUGGGCGAUGAAGGUCUUCGGAUCGUAAAGCCCUUUUCUUGGUGACGAGGAAGGACGGUAACCAAGGAAUAAGUGUCGGCUAACUACGUGCCAGCAGCCGCGGUAAAACGUAGGACGCAAGCGUUAUCCGGAAUUACUGGGCGUAAAGAGCGUGUAGGCGGGUAAGUAAGUCAGCCGUGAAAGCUCCCGGCUAAACUGGGAGAGGUCGGAUGAUACUGCUAAUCUUGAGGACNAUAGAGGGGUGUAGAAUUCCGGGUGUAGUGGUGAAAUGCGUAGAUUUCCGGAGGAAUACCAGAGGCGAAGGCGGCACCCUGGAUUGUAACUGACGCUGAGACGCGAAAGCAUGGGUAGCGAACGGGAUUAGAAACCCCGGUAGUCCAUGCCGUAAACGAUGCAUACUAGAUGUUCGCAUACCUACGGGUGUGUGAGUGUCGAAGCUAACGCGCUAAGUAUGCCGCCUGGGGAGUACGGUCGCAAGGCUAAAACUCAAAGGAAUUGACGGGGACCCGCACAAGCAGCGGAGCGUGUGGUUUAAUUCGAGGCUACGCGAAAAACCUUACCUAGGUUUGACAUCCCAUGAAGUCACUGGAAACAGUGAUGUUCCUUCGGGGCAUGGAGACAGGUGCUGCAUGGCUGUCGUCAGCUCGUGUCGUGAGAUGUUCGGUUAAGUCCGAAAACGAGCGCAACCCUCGGUGUUAGUUACAAGUGUCUAACACGACUGCCUGCGACAAGCAGGAGGAAGGUGGGGAUGACGUCAAGUCAGCAUGGCCUUUAUAUCUAGGGCUACACACACGCUACAAUGGGCGGUACAAUGGGUCGCGAAGCCGCGAGGUGGAGCCAAUCCUAAAAAGCCGUUCGUAGUUCGGAUUGUAGGCUGCAACUCGCCUGCAUGAAGUCGGAGUUGCUAGUAACCGCAAAUCAGCACGUUGCGGUGAAUACGUUCCCGGGUCUUGUACACACCGCCCGUCACGUCAUGGGAGCUGGUCACGCCUGAAGUCGGGAAGCUAACCGUAAGGGGGCUACGCCGAAGGCAGGGCUGGUGACUGGGACGAAGUCGUAACAAGGUAGCUGUAGCGGAAGCUGCGGCUGGAUCACCUCCUU
rnacentral:rRNA from 1 species